rnacentral:tRNA from 1 species
GUUUUUAUAGUUGAGUACAACAUUGGUUUUUCAAGCCAAAGGGUUUGGUUAAAGUCCAAAUAAGAAUA